AUCAGAGCAGUAUCAGAGCAGUAUCAGCAUCAGUAUCAGAUCAGUAUCAGAGCAGUAUCAGUAUCAGAGCAGUAUCAGUAUCAGAGCAGUAUCAGAGCAGUAUCAGUAUCAUAUCAAUAUCAGUAGCAGAUCAGUAGCAGAGCAGUAUCAGUAUCAUAGCAGAGCAGUAUCAGUAGCAGUAUUAGACCAGUAUCAAUAUCAGAGCAGUAUCAGUAUUAGACCAGUAUCAAUAUCAGAGCAGUAUCAGUAUCAGAGCAGUAUCAGUAGCAGAGCAGUAUCAGAGCAGUAUCAGUAUCAGAGCAGUAUCAGAGCAGUAUCAGUAUCAGAGCAGUAUCAGUAUCAGAGCAGUAUCAGUAUCAGUAUCAGAGCAGUAUCAAUAUCAGAGCAGUAUCAGUAUCAGAGCAGUAUCAUAUCAGUAUCAGAGCAGUAUCAAUAUCAGAGCAGUA
ensembl:lncRNA